rnacentral:lncRNA from 1 species
CUCAAAUAAAUAUUCUAAAAAUACUAGGACUAUUAAAGGUGAUUCUAAUAAGCGAGUCAAAAAUUACAUGUCUACAGCUGCCCCUCUUUGAUGGGAAACACGAAGUGUUUUCAGACAAAGAACAACAAAACAUGUUUUUGACCCGACCCUUAUUUAGAGAGACAAAAACUAAAAGAGAAGGGAUGUGACCGAGCCCUGGUAUCUGAGCUGCCUACAUAUCCUUGGCUAUAAAGAAAUCAGGCCACAUGUAGUUCGGAGUGAGAAGAGCGACGGAGUAUACCGAGAUGGAGAGCCGAGUGAAGUGUCGUCGAGGUUCCGGUCCGCGGUUCCUUCCAUUACAUCAAAAAUAAAAGGAAAAUUACAGCAAAGUAAAAAAAAUACAAGAUCCUAUCUACUUCUUGUCUUGAAUCUUCCUUGAAUCUCUACUUGAUCUUCAACAUAAGACUGAAAAAUGGACCAUGUUCUUCAGGCGGGCUCGUGAUGCUUCUUAAAUUUGCGAAUUGAAGUGACUCUAAAAAUGAAUUCCCUCGUUCUCCAAGUGGGUGCCUGAUUUCCAAAACUUGAAUUGUAUUCCCUCGUUAUCCAGGUGGGCGCCUGGUUGCUAAAACCUGAAACUGCAUUCCCUCAUUAUCCAGGUGGGCGCCUGGUUGCUAAAACUUGAAACUGCAUUCCCUCAUUAUCCAGGUGGGCGCCUGGUUGCUAAAACUUGAAACUGCAUUCCCUCGUUAUCCAGGUGGGCGUCUGGUUGCUAAAACUUGAAACUGCAUUCCCUCGUUAUCCAGGUGGGCGCCUGGUUGCUAAAACUUGAAAACUGUAUUCCCUCGUUAUCCAGGUG